GUAGGUGGCAAGCGUUGUCCGGAAUUAUUGGGCGUAAAGCGCGCGCAGGGCGGUCCUUUAAGUCUGAUGUGAAAGCCCACGGCUCAACCGUGGAGGGUCAUUGGAAACUGGGGGACUUGAGUACAGAAGAGGAAAGCGGAAUUCCAAGUGUAGCGGCGAAAUGCGUAGAGAUUUGGAGGAACACCAGUGGCGAAGGCGGCUUUCUGGUCUGUAACUGACGCUGAGGCGCGAAAGCGUGGGGAGCAAACAGGAUUAGAUACCCUGGUAGUCCACGCCGUAAACGAUGAGUGCUAAGUGUUAGGGGGUUUCCGCCCCUUAGUGCUGCAGCUAACGCAUUAAGCACUCCGCCUGGGGAGUACGGCCGCAAAGGCUG
rnacentral:rRNA from 1 species